ACUUCACCAUAGACCGCUCCCGGAUGGACACCUUAAAGUAUCGGUUGAUGUUGUAUUAGAUAAGGAUGCGUUGCUACCGAUACCUGACAUUGUUUCAGAGACAACAUUGCUGCGAGAUGCAAUAGGAUCAUUUGUUGCAUGGCCCUUGGAUCUCAUUUUCAUUGAUGAUGAGACGCCUACAAAACCCGCAUCUAAGGAUAAAGGGAUUUUGCGGCACAACGAGUCUGUUGCAUCACAAAAAGAGGUAUUUGCUCAAGGGUCACAACAACUGAGCCAGAAAAUUGGUAGUCGACAGAAAAACAAAAGGGAUCUUCCAGUGACUUAUUUGCCAAAAAAGGUGCUUUUGUGCCUCGAUACCAGAUAUCUCUUGAAACACUUGUUGACUCAUCAGAUAUGGCAACAGCUGGUGCUAUUCGCUUACUGGAUAUGGAGGAAGAUAUCUUUGGUUAUUCAUGCACUGAAACAAUCGGAAAAGAAGAUCUGGAACAUAUUUUUCGGCAUCAAGAAUUAGGCGUCGGUGUU